GUUUUUGUACGAUGCUUACAUAGACUUUGAAAUACAUUUCCAAAUAUAAUAUCAUUUUUAAUACGAAUAUGAUCUGGAAGUUACUAGUGUUAUUUAUGUGCAAGUGCAACCAAAGCCCACCCAGGAAAUGUCCGUGCUGUGUCUCUUGCCCCACAGGUCAUUAAUAGCAUCUGGGCUCUAUGGCUACAAUGCCACCCUGGUGGGAAUACUCAUGGCUGUCUUUUCGGACAAGGGAGACUAUUUCUGGUGGCUGUUACUCCCUGUAUGUGCUAUGUCCAUGACUUGCCCAAUUUUCUCAAGCGCACUGAAUUCCAUGCUCAGCAAAUGGGACCUCCCUGUCUUCACCCUCCCUUUCAACAUGGCGUUGUCAAUGUACCUUUCAGCUACAGGACAUUACAAUCCGUUCUUUCCAGGCAAACUGGUCAUACCUGUAACUACAGCUCCAAAUAUCUCCUGGUCUGACCUCAGUGCCCUGGAGUUGUUGAAAUCUAUACCAGUGGGAGUUGGUCAGAUCUAUGGCUGUGAUAAUCCAUGGACAGGGGGCAUUUUCCUGGGAGCCAUCCU
rnacentral:sRNA from 1 species